CUGGCGGCACGCCUAACACAUGCAAGUCGAACGCAGUAGCAAUACUGAGUGGCAAACGGGUGAGUAUAAUGUGGGAAUCUGCCUUUUGGUUUGGAAUAACACGGGGAAACUUGUGCUAAUACCGAAUAAGCCCUUACGGGGAAAGUUUUAAUGCCGAAAGAUGAGCCCGCACUUGAUUAGCUAGUUGGUAAGGUAAAAGCUUACCAAGGCAACGAUCAAUAGCUGUUCUUAGAGGAAGACCAGCCACAUUGGGACUGAGACACGGCCCAGACUCCUACGGGAGGCAGCAGUGGGGAAUCUUGCACAAUGGGGGAAACCCUGAUGCAGCGAUGCCGCGUGAGUGAAGAAGGCCUUUGGGUUGUAAAACUCUUUCGUCGGGGAAGAAAAUGACUGUACCCGAAUAAGAAGGUCCGGCUA
rnacentral:rRNA from 1 species